rnacentral:rRNA from 1 species
GCGCGCAGGCGGUCCUUUAAGUCUGAUGUGAAAGCCCACGGCUYAACCGUGGAGGGYCAUUGGAAACUGGRRGACUUGAGURCAGAAGAGRAGAGUGGAAUUCCACGUGUAGCGGUGAAAUGCGUAGAGAUGUGGAGGAACACCAGUGGCGAAGGCGACUC